rnacentral:lncRNA from 1 species
UCUUGGUGUAUGCUCCUUUUUGACACUUUCUCAUUUAGUUUGUCUAAUUCCUUGAUUAAUGUUUAUACACCAAUGGAAGUCCAAUUGUUUGUUCAUAUAUGAUUGCACACUUUAUAUAUAUACACGAUUUUUCCAGAUUUCUAAAAUCCUGGGAGAAAUCCUACCCGUGCCAUGCCAUCUCAUACGUAUCUCUCGCCCCCAAGCAGCGACAGUCGUGACCAGCGCCACGAGCCCAUCCAUCUUAACCACCCAAGUAAAUCAAUCCGACGGCCAGCAUCGGCUGGCCGCGCCGGAUCCUGCGAUCCUGGUCCGUCCCCUAACUAUCCGGGCCAACCACCGUGAGAUCUUGCCGCGGCUAGCUCAGCAAAAUCUUAAAAAGUAAACUUAAUUAUAUUUAGUCAUUACUUAAUUUGAUCACAGAGAGAAAAAAUAAUUUAAAAAAGAAAUGUAAACGCC